rnacentral:misc_RNA from 1 species
AUGCGCCCCCGGACAUGAUCGGUCAGAAAUGGCCCGUUGUGCUCCGGCCAAUCGCCAUCCUUGUGUAGUGUAUGAUUGUUGCUUUGGCGGGCCGCCUUCGGGCACCGGCUUCGGCUGGCUUGUGCCCGCCAGAGGACCCCCAACUCUGUAUGUUAGUGAUGUCUGAGUACUAUAUAAUAGUUA